rnacentral:lncRNA from 1 species
GGCACAUCAGGCCAGCUGUUUUUUUUUUUAUUAGUUUUCGGUGGGAGACUGGGAGAGUGAGCACACAAGCUGAUGUAUACAGGACAUCGAUCGAUUGUUCGUUUUAAAUUAAGCAAAGAAAAAUCAACAUAUGUGUGAACCUGAUCCACUGUCGUUCAAAAGUGGUGCAUGUUCUUUAGCUCUCUUUUUAAUUAUUAUAUUUUGAAGGGCUAAAUUAGAUCCUGCCUAUACAUUUUCAAGUGGGAAAAGUAACUCUAGGAUGUACAUGUACUACUAGCACUGUAUGUAAUAUUACACUUUUUGUGGGUAGGAUCAUAGUCAGUAGUUAGGCUGCUUGGAAUGGUAGCCACACAAUCAUCACUCGAUCAGAUUUAUCGCUCUUUUAAUUUUUCUUUCCGUUCUUUCAUUUUGAUAGUGUGAUCGAGUUUUGCAAGAGUGUCUAUUGUGUGAGACAAUAUACGGUGGCGCAACUAGAAGCAUAUGAAACUCCAUUA